rnacentral:rRNA from 1 species
GUAGGUGAACCUGCGGAAGGAUCAUUACCGGUGCCCAAUGCGCUUUCGACACACAGUCGGCUGCGUAAGUGUAGAGAGAAACCACCGUUGCCCACACACACAGAGCAGGAGUGGUCGUUGUAUACGGCUGCGGCGGCCUUUGACUUUGAGGCUCGUCGUCGUCCGUCGUCAACGACCAGGUCGUAUACGGCUUCGGCGGCCUUUGACUUUGAGGCUCGUCGUCGUCCGUCGUCAACGACCAAGGAUCGCCGGGCCGCCGGGCCUGAGAAACCCGGCGGUGACCACUUGCGGUCCGAAACCCACGGUCGUUGUAUACGGCUGCGGCGGCCUUUGACUUUGAGGCUCGUCGUCGUCCGUCGUCAACGACCAAAACUAUGCAUACUUGUUGAAACUUCGGGGUACCUGUCGCGCAUUCGGCAUUGACCGUAUUUGUCGAAUGCGCGGUGAGCUGGCUGGUGGCUUCGGCCGCCGGCUUGGCGAAGGUUUAAAGAGCGCCCUAUGGUCGCCCCGAAGUCAUGUUUUUGUUGCCCAUGUACGGUUGCUAUUCCGACGCCUGCUGGCCGACGGAGACCGCCCACGUCGUCUUGGGUGGACAAAGUUGGCCGGUACGGUGCUGCCCAAACUGGUAAAAGUGAUACAACUCUAAGCGGUGGAUCACUCGGCUCGUGUGUCGAUGAAGAGCGCAGCCAGCUGCGUGAAGUAAUGUGAAUUGCAGGACACAUUGAACAUCGACAUCUUGAACGCACAUUGCGGCCUCGGGCAUUCCCGAGGCCACGCCUGUCUCAGGGUCGGUUGAACUUAUCAAUCGUCGGUUGACUUUGCCGACGCAUUGGAUCGUCGCGGCUCGCGCUGACCGUAAAGGCGCGAUCGGCAUUGACCGUAUUUGUCGAUCGCGCUGCGCAGCCACGUCGUCCGAAGUACAGACGGGUCCAAAGCUUUGCCGACCGCAUGUCCUAAGUCCGCCUGUCGGACGGGGACGGCGACUCGGACCGUAAAGAGAAGCCGUUGCCUGUUCAUUGGCGGUACGGUUGGCAAAGCGGAGGAACCACGAAGCGGAAAACGCGAGCGUCCAACGUCGUAUUCGGAACGGCGACGUGCGGCGGCCUCUUGACGUUGAGGUCUGUCGCGCGUCGCGCAUCCGUUGUCGAUCGUGCGGUUGCAAGCGUUCAUCUUCUUCGACCUGAGAUCAGACGAGAUUACCCGCUGAAUUUAA